UACAUGGGGUGCAAACGUUGCUCGGAAUUAUUGGGCGUAAAGCGCGCGUAGGCGGUUACUUAAGUCGGAUGUGAAAGCCCUCGGCUUAACUGAGGAAGUGCACCCGAAACUGAGUAGCUAGAGUACGAAAGAGGGUCGCGGAAUUCCCGGUGUAGAGGUGAAAUGCGUAGAGAUCGGGAGGAACAUCUGUGGCGAAGGCGACUGCCUGGACCAGCACUGACACUGAGGCACGAAAGCGUGGGGAGCAAACAGG
rnacentral:rRNA from 1 species